rnacentral:rRNA from 1 species
CUACGGGACGCACCAGUGAGGAAUAUUGCACAAUGGGGGGAACCCUGAUGCAGCAACGCCGCGUGGAGGAUGACGCAUUUCGGUGUGUAAACUCCUUUUAUAUGUCAAGAAAAUGACGGUAGCAUAUGAAUAAGCACCGGCUAACUCCGUGCCAGCAGCCGCGGUAAUACGGAGGGUGCAAGCGUUACUCGGAAUCACUGGGCGUAAAGGACGCGUAGGCGGGUUGGAAAGUCAGGUGUGAAAUCCUACAGCUUAACGGUAGAACUGCACUUGAAACUUCUAAUCUAGAGUAUGGGAGGGGGAGAUGGAAUUAGUGGUGUAGGGGUAAAAUCCGUAGAUAUCACUAGGAAUACCUAAAGCGAAGGCGAUCUCCUGGAACAUUACUGACGCUAAGGCGUGAAAGCGUGGAGAGCAAACAGGAUUAGAUACCCCCGUAGUC